rnacentral:lncRNA from 1 species
NNNNNNGCCCCCGCCUCCCCAAACUCACCUCAGUUGCCAACAGCCUCCCGGUGCCUGUUGGACCAUCCCUUGCUGGUUCUUCAUUUCCUGUGGGCCUAGUUUCCAGGGGCUGAGUGACCAGGGUCUUAAAACAGGUUUAAGGCUUGGCUUGCUGGCCCUGGAGAUCCCGUCGCCGUCUUCGUCGAACUCGAACUCCUAGCCAUCGUCCUUCCCUGGCCUGUCGCGUCUUCCUGUGCCAUUUGCUGUUGUGCUCAGGUUCCACGAGCUGCCCAUCUCCACAGAAGAGCAGCUGGCAUUGCCCACUGGCCAUGCCGGCUGAAGAAAAGAAGACUGAGGACCCCAGGACGCCCAGCGCGAGGACCCCAGGAAGCCCAGCGCGAGGACUCCACCCACGACGCCCAGCGCGAGGACUUCACGCACAACACGUUGCAACUCUCCUGGAUUAGGCCAAAGCCAUCAUCUGGAAUCCUGCGUGGGACCCUGGACACACGGACACAAACACCUGCCCCCCAGGACCCUCCAACUGUAAAUCGAUUGGAAGCGCCCUUGUGAGCUGGGGCCUUCAAAGGGCUGAGGAGAAAAUGCAGGCCGAGAGACCAGCUUCUCAAAUAGGCUUCAAGCCUCCAUGACCUGAGCUCACCCCCUGGAAAUGUCUGGAAAACAUAAUGGGCAGGUUUUCUGUCUUCAAAGUUUCCA